rnacentral:tRNA from 1 species
AGUAAAAUGCCUGAAUUAAAGGAUUAUUUUGAUAUAAUAAUUAUGUGUAUUUAUUCACUUUUACUA